GUCGGGAAAUCCACUCGCCUAACGAGUGGGCGUCCGGCGGAAACUACAGGGCUUGGGACCGGAAGACUUGAGGGGUACGUCUGGGGUAGGAGUGAAAUCCUGUAAUCCUGGACGGACCGCCGAUGGCGAAAGCACCUCAAGACGACGGAUCCGACAGUGAGGGACGAAAGCUAGGGUCUCGAACCGGAUUAGAUACCCGG
rnacentral:rRNA from 1 species